UACGUAGGUGGCAAGCGUUGUCCGGAUUUACUGGGCGUAAAGAGCGCGCAGGCGGUCAAAUAAGUCGAAUGUGAAAGCCCCCGGCUCAACUGGGGAGGGUCAUUCGAUACUGUUCGACUCGAAGGCAGGAGAGGGAAGCGGAAUUCCCGGUGUAGUGGUGAAAUGCGUAGAUAUCGGGAGGAACACCAGUGGCGAAGGCGGCUUUCUGGCCUGUUCUUGACGCUGAGGUACGAAAGCGUGGGUAGCAAACAGG
rnacentral:rRNA from 1 species